CUGGGGACAUAGCUCAGUUGGUAGAAUGCUUGCCUUGCAUGCAAGGCCCUGGGUUCAGUUCCCAGCACCAGA
rnacentral:tRNA from 1 species